rnacentral:rRNA from 1 species
GAUGAACGCUGGCGGCGUGCCUAAUACAUGCAAGUCGAGCGAACAGAUGAGAAGCUUGCUUCUCUGAUGUUAGCGGCGGACGGGUGAGUAACACGUGGGUAACCUACCUAUAAGACUGGGAUAACUCCGGGAAACCGGGGCUAAUACCGGAUAAUAUUUUGAACCGCAUGGUUCAAUAGUGAAAGACGGUUUCGGCUGUCACUUAUAGAUGGACCCGCGCCGGAUUAGCUAGUUGGUAAGGUAACGGCUUACCAAGGCGACGAUACGUAGCCGACCUGAGAGGGUGAGCGGCCACACUGGAACUGAGACACGGUCCAGACUCCUACGGGAGGCAGCAGUAGGGAAUCUUCCGCAAUGGGCGAAAGCCUGACGGAGCGACGCCGCGUGAGUGAUGAAGGUCUUCGGAUCGUAAAACUCUGUUGUUAGGGAAGAACAAAUUUGUUAGUAACUGAACAAGUCUUGACGGUACCUAACCAGAAAGCCACGGCUAACUACGUGCCAGCCGCCGCAGUAA